rnacentral:rRNA from 1 species
UGCCAGCCGCCGCGGUAAUACGGAGGGUGCAAGCGUUGUUCGGAAUUAUUGGGCGUAAAGCGGGAGCAGGCGGCCAGGUAAGUCGGAUGUGAAAUCCCUGGGCUCAACCCAGGAACUGCAUUCGAAACUACCUGACUAGAGUCUCGGAGAGGGUGGCGGAAUUCCCGGUGUAGAGGUGAAAUUCGUAGAUAUCGGGAGGAACACCAGUGGCGAAGGCGGCCACCUGGACGAUGACUGACGCUCAGUCCCGAAAGCGUGGGGAGCAAACAGGAUUAGAUA